GCCAACGUAGCUCAGCCGGUAGAGCAGCUGAUUCGUAAUCAGCAGGUCGUCGGUUCGAGUCCGACCGUUGGCU
rnacentral:tRNA from 1 species